rnacentral:tRNA from 1 species
UGGGGUAUCGUCCAACGGCAGGACAUGCGGCUCUGGACCGUAGAAUCGGGGUUCGAAUCCCUGUACCCCAG